rnacentral:tRNA from 1 species
GGGGCGGUAGUUAAGUUGGUUAUAACGACGGCCUGUCACGCCGUAGGCCGAGGGUUCAAGUCCCUUCCGUCCCGCCA